GGAUCUUGAAGAGCAGAUUCCUUCCAUUGUUAUAAAAGGGAUGCAGGUUGCAAAGAAUGGAGAAAUUCCUGAGAGGAAGUUUUUAAGUGCUGUUAAUUUGGCAAGAAAUCAAAUCAUCUCCCAGAUCGGCGUGCGGGCUGAAGCAGCGGCAACCACCGACAUCCGUGAACCCUACUACUGUCCGGACACCGGAGAGGGGCCAACAUGAUGUCAUCCAGUCCUCACAGCAGCCGCCAACAGCGAGACUCAUGGACACGCUAGGGGAGAAGAUUCCUUCCCGUCCACUCCUUCCUUCCACUUGUGGAAGCUCAGGCAGAGAGAAGUCAAGUCGCUUGCCCAAGGAAUAGGAGCUCCAGAGGACUGAGCCUCGUGCCCCUAGAUGCACAGCCAGCUGGCAAGCGGCUGAGUCUUAGCACUGGAAAGGACUCACAGCGCCAACUCACCCACAGGCAGAAUUUUAUUCCCAGAGAGUCAAGAAACUUGCCUGAGCAGGAAACAGAUGGCUCACCAGAGUUGAAUGGAGAAACUAUUUCCAGGGGAGUGGGCAGAAUUAAGGGGACAACAAGAAAUGAAGCCCAUGGGACUAGCGACAGUGAGAUGUCCUAACCUUCUCUAGGCCUGAAGGGACCAGGGAACAGAGCAGAGUGGCCAGAACCUAGUGAGAGCUGGAACCCAGACAGAGGGCCGCACAGCAGGACCUGCAGCCAUUGGCACAAAAUGGGCAGAAAAGAGCACAACAUUCCUCAGGAAGGUCGACUGGACAAUCGCCAGCAUACUCACCCAUGAGGAACAGAAAGCCAUGGACAUCAACAAUAAUCCAUCGGAAAAAAACAGAAAUGUAAGGAGCUGAGGUGCAGAAAUCAGUUAAUCUUCUUAGUCUUCAGCUAUUUUGACCUUUCUGGAACGUUGCGCUUUCAUUAAUUCAUUUAUCAAAUACUUGA